UGCCGGCGUGGCGGAACAGGCAGACGCGCAGGACUUAAAAUCCUGUCGGGGUAACUCGGUACCGGUUCGAUUCCGGUCGCCGGCAU
rnacentral:tRNA from 1 species